GGUAGUCCACGCCGUAAACGUUGGGCGCUAGAUGUAGGGACCUUUCCACGGUUUCUGUGUCGUAGCUAACGCAUUAAGCGCCCCGCCUGGGGAGUACGGCCGCAAGGCUAAAACUCAAAGGAAUUGACGGGGGCCCGCACAAGCGGCGGAGCAUGCGGAUUAAUUCGAUGCAACGCGAAGAACCUUACCAAGGCUUGACAUACACCGGAAACGGCCAGAGAUGGUCGCCCCCUUGUGGUCGGUGUACAGGUGGUGCAUGGUUGUCGUCAGCUCGUGUCGUGAGAUGUUGGGUUAAGUCCCGCAACGAGCGCAACCCUCGUUCUAUGUUGCCAGCGCGUUAUGGCGGGGACUCAUAGGAGACUGCCGGGGUCAACUCGGAGGAAGGUGGGGAUGACGUCAAAUCAUCAUGCCCCUUAUGUCUUGGGCUUCACGCAUGCUACAAUGGCCGGUACAAAGGGCUGCGAUACCGUAAGGUGGAGCGAAUCCCAAAAAGCCGGUCUCAGUUCGGAUUGAGGUCUGCAACUCGACCUCAUGAAGUCGGAGUCGCUAGUAAUCGCAGAUCAGCAACGCUGCGGUGAAUACGUUCCCGGGCCUUGUACACACCGCCCGUCAAGUCAUGAAAGUCGGUAACACCCGAAGCCGGUGGCCUAACCCUUGUGGAAGGAGCCGUCGAAGGUGGGAUCGGUGAUUAGGACUAAGUCGUAACAAGGUAGC
rnacentral:rRNA from 1 species